AGACCCGAAACCCGGUGAUCUAGCCAUGGGCAGGUUGAAGGUUGGGUAACACUAACUGGAGGACCGAACCGACUAAUGUUGAAAAAUUAGCGGAUGACCUGUGGCUGGGGGUGAAAGGCCAAUCAAACCGGGAGAUAGCUGGUUCUCCCCGAAAGCUAUUUAGGUAGCGCCUCGUGAAUUCAUCUCCGGGGGUAGAGCACUGUUUCGGCUAGGGGGCCAUCCCGGCUUACCAACCCGAUGCAAACUGCGAAUACCGGAGAAUGUUAUCACGGGAGACACACGGCGGGUGCUAACGUCCGUCGUGAAGAGGGAAACAACCCAGACCGCCAGCUAAGGUCCCAAAGUCAUGGUUAAGUGGGAAACGAUGUGGGAAGGCCCAGACAGCCAGGAUGUUGGCUUAGAAGCAGCCAUCAUUUAAAGAAAGCGUAAUAGCUCACUGGUCGAGUCGGCCUGCGCGGAAGAUGUAACGGGGCUAAACCAUGCACCGAAGCUGCGGCAGCGACACUCAGGUGUUGUUGGGUAGGGGAGCGUUCUGUAAGCCUGCGAAGGUGGCCUGUGAGGGUUGCUGGAGGUAUCAGAAGUGCGAAUGCUGACAUAAGUAACGAUAAAGCGGGUGAAAAGCCCGCUCGCCGGAAGACCAAGGGUUCCUGUCCAACGUUAAUCGGGGCAGGGUGAGUCGACCCCUAAGGCGAGGCCGAAAGGCGUAGUCGAUGGGAAACGGGUUAAUAUUCCCGUACUUGGUGUUACUGCGAAGGGGGGACGGAGAAGGCUAUGUUGGCCGGGCGACGGUUGUCCCGGUUUAAGCGUGUAGGUGUGUGUUCCAGGUAAAUCCGGUUCACUUUAACACUGAGGCGUGACGACGAGGCACUACGGUGCUGAAGCAACAAAUGCCCUGCUUCCAGGAAAAGCCUCUAAGCAUCAGGUAACAUCAAAUCGUACCCCAAACCGACACAGGUGGUCAGGUAGAGAAUACCAAGGCGCUUGAGAGAACUCGGGUGAAGGAACUAGGCAAAAUGGUGCCGUAACUUCGGGAGAAGGCACGCUGACACGUAGGUGAAGUGAUUUACUCAUGGAGCUGAAGUCAGUCGAAGAUACCAGCUGGCUGCAACUGUUUAUUAAAAACACAGCACUGUGCAAACACGAAAGUGGACGUAUACGGUGUGACGCCUGCCCGGUGCCGGAAGGUUAAUUGAUGGGGUCAGCGCAAGCGAAGCUCCUGAUCGAAGCCCCGGUAAACGGCGGCCGUAACUAUAACGGUCCUAAGGUAGCGAAAUUCCUUGUCGGGUAAGUUCCGACCUGCACGAAUGGCGUAAUGAUGGCCAGGCUGUCUCCACCCGAGACUCAGUGAAAUUGAACUCGCUGUGAAGAUGCAGUGUACCCGCGGCAAGACGGAAAGACCCCGUGAACCUUUACUAUAGCUUGACACUGAACAUUGAGCCUUGAUGUGUAGGAUAGGUGGGAGGCUUUGAAGUGUGGACGCCAGUCUGCAUGGAGCCGACCUUGAAAUACCACCCUUUAAUGUUUGAUGUUCUAACGUGGACCCGUAAUCCGGGUUGCGGACAGUGUCUGGUGGGUAGUUUGACUGGGGCGGUCUCCUCCUAAAGAGUAACGGAGGAGCACGAAGGUUGGCUAAUCCUGGUCGGACAUCAGGAGGUUAGUGCAAUGGCAUAAGCCAGCUUGACUGCGAGCGUGACGGCGCGAGCAGGUGCGAAAGCAGGUCAUAGUGAUCCGGUGGUUCUGAAUGGAAGGGCCAUCGCUCAACGGAUAAAAGGUACUCCGGGGAUAACAGGCUGAUACCGCCCAAGAGUUCAUAUCGACGGCGGUGUUUGGCACCUCGAUGUCGGCUCAUCACAUCCUGGGGCUGAAGUAGGUCCCAAGGGUAUGGCUGUUCGCCAUUUAAAGUGGUACGCGAGCUGGGUUUAGAACGUCGUGAGACAGUUCGGUCCCUAUCUGCCGUGGGCGCUGGAGAACUGAGGGGGGCUGCUCCUAGUACGAGAGGACCGGAGUGGACGCAUCACUGGUGUUCGGGUUGUCAUGCCAAUGGCACUGCCCGGUAGCUAAAUGCGGAAGAGAUAAGUGCUGAAAGCAUCUAAGCACGAAACUUGCCCCGAGAUGAGUUCUCCCUGAGACUUAGAGUCUCCUGAAGGAACGUUGAAGACGACGACGUUGAUAGGCCGGGUGUGUAAGCGCAGCGAUGCGUUGAGCUAACCGGUACUAAUGAACCGUGAGGCUUAACCUUACA
rnacentral:rRNA from 1 species